rnacentral:rRNA from 1 species
GAUGAACGCUGGCAGCGUGCCUAAUACAUGCAAGUCGAGCGAACGGACGAGAAGCUUGCUUCUCUGAUGUUAGCGGCGGACGGGUGAGUAACACGUGGAUAACCUACCUAUAAGACUGGGAUAACUUCGGGAAACCGUAGCUAAUACCGGAUAAUAUUUUGAACCGCAUGGUUCAAAAGUGAAAGACGGUCUUGCUGUCACUUAUAGAUGGAUCCGCGCUGCAUUAGCUAGUUGGUAAGGUAACGGCUUACCAAGGCAACGAUGCAUAGCCGACCUGAGAGGGUGAUCGGCCACACUGGCACUGAGACACGGUCCAGACUCCUACGGGAGGCAGCAGUAGGGAAUCUUCCGCAAUGGGCGAAAGCCUGACGGAGCACCGCCGCGUGAGUGAUGAAGGUCUUCGGAUCGUAAAACUCUGUUAUUAGGGAAGAACAUAUGUGUAAGUAACUGUGCACAUCUUGACGGUACCUAAUCAGAAAGCCACGGCUAACUACGUG